UGUAUCUUGUUUUCUUAAUAGCAAUUGUUGGCUGGCUAAUUAGGCCUAUUAUAUUGUGAUGUUAUUGAUCUCAUCUGUAAUAAUACUUGGAAAUAAUAAAAAUGUGUUCAAGAAUGCAUUUUACAUAUUUACUGCACUUUAAACCAAUAGCUUGUCUAAUAAAUACAUAAAUGACUUACAGUGACAUAUGUGGAAAUGUUUUAAUGACAUCAUCAAUUUUCUUUGCACAGUCCAUCAUCAGUGGCCAAAAGAAAUCAAAGUGGCUUGACAUAUUUUGCAAUCCUUCUGCCAAGACCAAUGCUUGUGCCUGUAUAUGUUGACGAUCAGGACCAAAUUGAUGACAUCUACAUUCACCUCACUUAAUUUCUGGACAGGAUACCCACACAGACUCACAGUGACACAAUCAAGUUUAUUAUGGAUGUCCUUUUUCCAGAGUCCAUCAUCUGUGCCCUUGCUGCUUUGGAAAAUCUCACCAUGCUGGAGGCUGAGGAGAAAUUUCUACAAGGGCCUGUCUUUGACAUAAGUGAGCGUGAGCAGUUUGACGUUUUGAAGAAGAGUGGCAACCCAUAGGAGUCAUUAUCGAGAGCCAUCCAAUAAUGAUCAUCAAUCCUGUUUUUGAUAAUGGUCUUAAAUAAUGUUGUUCACAAGAAGCUUGUCACUUUUUACUUAGAAGAUAAAAGACCUUAGAAAUUUCUUAAAGCAUUGAAUUGUGAUUUUCUUCAUUUAAUAGUAUGCAGGACACUGUUCUAAAUGCACGGCAGAUAUUUAAUUGAUGGUUCAUAUGAUUGCCUUAAUGUCUGAUAGGCUAAAUAUGGUUAAUAUUUGAAUGUAACUUUAUACAUGCCUAUACAUUCACAACAAACACUCAAGUCUUCUGUAUAUUUGUAUAUAACUAGGCUACAG